rnacentral:rRNA from 1 species
GAUCUCUUUGAGGCCCGUUAUCGGAAUGAGAACAAUUCAAAUCCUUUAACGAGGAUCUAGCGGAGGGCAAGUCUGGUGCCAGCAGCCGCGGUAAUUCCAGCUCCGCAGGUGUAUAUCUAUGCUGCUGCGGUUAAAAAGCUCGUAGUUGGAUCUGCGUGCUCGGAACUGGUUGGCUCACUGAGUUCAAACUGGUCUCCGGCGCUUUAUUGGCUGGUUUUCCCUUGAUGCUCUUAACCGGGUGUCUUGGGUGGCUAGCACGUUUACUUUGAAAAAAUUAGAGUGCUCAAUACAGGCGUAAAGCCUUGAAUAGUGGUGCAUGGAAUAAUAGAAUAGGACCUCGGCUCUAUUUUGUUGGUUUUCGGAACGCGAGGUAAUGAUUAAGAGGGACAGACGGGGGCAUUCGUAUUGCGACGUUAGAGGUGAAAUUCUUGGAUCGUCGCAAGACGGACGACUGCGAAAGCAUUUGCCAAGAAUGUUUUCAUUAAUCAAGAACGAAAGUUAGAGGUUCGAAGGCGAUCAGAUACCGCCCUAGUUCUAACCGUAAACGAUGCCAACUAGCGAUUCGCAGGCGUUAAACAACGACCUUGCGGGCAGCUUCCCGGAAACGAAAGUGUUCGGGUUCCGGGGGAAGUAUGGUUGCAAAGCUGAAACUUAAAGGAAUUGACGGAAGGGCACCACCAGGAGUGGAGCCUGCGGCUUAAUUUGACCCAACACGGGAAAACUCACCCGGCCCGGACACCGUAAGGAUUGACAGAUUGAGAGCUCUUUCUUGAUUCGGUGGGUGGUGGUGCAUGGCCGUUCUUAGUUGGUGGAGCGAUUUGUCUGGUUUAUUCCGAUAACGAACGAGACUCUGGCCUACUAAAUAGUGGGCGGAUUCUUUCUGUCCGCAACACUUCUUAGAGGGACAAGCGGUGUUCAGCCGCACGAGAUUGAGCAAUAACAGGUCUGUGAUGCCCUUAGAUGUCCGGGGCUGCACGCGCGCUACACUGAAGGAAUCAGCGUGCUUUCUGACCUUGCCCGAAAGGGCUGGGUAACCCGAUGAAAAUCCUUCGUGAUUGGGAUAGGGACUUGCAAUUAUUUCCCUUGAACGAGGAAUUCCCAGUAAGUGUGGGUCAUAAGCUCGCGUUGAUUACGUCCCUGCCCUUUGUACACACCGCCCGUCGCUGCCCGGAACUGAGCCGUUUCGAGAAGAACAGGGACCGUCGUUGAAGGGCCUUAACGGGCUUUUCUCUGAUAGAAACUGUU